CUUGCCAACCUAAUCCUCGAGCAUAUUAUCUGCCACUGCUCGAUAAUCACCGUGUUCGGCUGGUGGGUAGGGCUCCAGCCCUACAGUAAUUCCCUCUCACACCACUCCAGCUCCAGUCUCCAGCCACCAGCCAGAAGACAAGGAAAAAAAAUCCCCCAAGUUAACGAUUGCUUAACUUAAAGCAUGCCAGCUACUACCUUUGUGCUUGUGCGUUUCGCCUGCAACUCGUUGAUACUGACUGCACAGUUUAGGAACAUGGGAUGAGAAAAGCCUCAAAUGUUGGGCUAAUUCUGAUUGGCUGAUGCCUGACGAAUCGACGUCUUCAAUUGCCACUGUGAUCCGUGACGUUCUUUGUUCGGUCGAAACUCCGAAAGGAUGCAAGCGCGCGUCAUAGAUUCUUUUGGUCUGCAAUUAUCUCAGCACCUGAAAAUGAGGGGUAAAAGGAAUCUCCAUGUGUCCAGCAAUGAAAGGUCUCAGUUGAAAUGCAAAUGAGAUUCUGAUUGUUUGAGAUCUUCAA